rnacentral:rRNA from 1 species
AGAAUCAACGCUGGCGGUGUGCCUAACACAUGCAAGUCGAACGAGAAAGUGGAGCAAUCCAUUAGUAAAGUGGCGCACGGGUGAGUAACACGUGACUAACCUACCCUUGAGUGGGGGAUAACCUAGGGAAACCUGGGCUAAUACCGCAUAAUACCUUCGGGUCAAAGGAGCAAUUCGCUUAAGGAGGGGGUCGCGGCCGAUUAGUUAGUUGGCGGGGUAAUGGCCCACCAAGACGAUGAUCGGUAUCCGGCCUGAGAGGGCGCACGGACACACUGGAACUGAAACACGGUCCAGACUCCUACGGGAGGCAGCAGUGGGGAAUUUUGCGCAAUGGGGGAAACCCUGACGCAGCAACGCCGCGUGGAGGAUGAAGCCCCUUGGGGCGUAAACUCCUUUCGAUCGGGACGAUAAUGACGGUACCGGAAGAAGAAGCCCCGGCUAACUUCGUGCCAGCAGCCGC